rnacentral:lncRNA from 1 species
UAUAAUCUUAUGGUGUAUUAUAAAGACUUUGUGAUUGCUUGCCGUGCAUUUAAUGAUAUGUUUAUACAUUUCUUACAGACACUUUUGUCUUUACCUUUAAUGAAGGAUACAUCUUAGUUGAAAAGAAAGAAGAAAUCACGUGUGGAGUUUCCGUUUUGUGUUUUCUGUUGUGCUGAUGUGUGCCGGGUGUGAAGUUCAGGCUGGCUCUCCGCCCAGGCAGUUGCUGCUCUUGGUUGAUCUGCGUGUGGAUGUCUCACAGCCCAGCUCUCUCCUCCACUGAAACACAUUUCCACCUUCGAAAAACAUCAGUUGGUCAGUCUCUCCCCUGGCACAAAAAUCAACCCAGGAUGGACCCAAGACCUGGGAAGUAGGCCAGAAGCUACACAGGCCACAGCCUCCUUGACAGGACCCUGAAGCCCGGGAAGUGAUACCAAGAGUUAAUAAAUAGGCUGGCAUCAAAUUAAAACAUUUCUGCACAGCAAAAGAAAUAAGGAGGUGAAAGCAGACCUGCAGGAUGGGAGAGAACCUUUGCCAGCCGCCCUUCCCACAGAGGAUUGAUGUCCAGAAUAUGUGGAAAAACUCAACCAAAAAUGCCCCCCCCCCAAAAAACAAACAAAUAAAAUAAUGCACAAACGAACUAAACACAUUUCUCAAAAGAAGAAAUACAAAUGACCAACAAAUUUGAAAAAAUAUUCGACAUCCCUAGCAAUGUCAGGGAAAUGUAAAUCAAAAUGACACUCAGAUUCCACCUCACUCCAGUCAGCAUGGCAGUCAUCAAGAACAAAACAGCCUGGCACAGUGGUGCAGGCCUAUAAUCCCAGCGGCUCAGGAGGCUGAGGCAGGAGGAUCGCAAGUUCAAAGCCAGCCUCAGCAAAAGUGAGACACCAUGCAAUUCAUUGAGACCCUAUAAAUACAAAAUAGGGCUGGGGAUGUGGCUCAGUGGUCAAGUUCCCGUGAGUUCAAUCCCUGGCACACACACACACACAGAAUACAAAUCACAGUGAAUGCUAGAGGAGAUGUGGAGGAGAAGGAGCACUGUAAGUUAGUACAACCACUCUGGAAAUCAGUGUGGAGUCUCCUCAAAAGACUAGGCAGGGACCACCUCUGUGACCCAGGUGUACCACUCCUCGGCAUUUAUUCAAAAUAAUGAAAGUUUCAUGAUUCUUUAGCAAGGCAUGCAUACCCAUGUUUAUGACCACAAAAUUCACAAUAGCCAAAUCAUGGAGCCAGCUUAGGUGGCCAUCAACAGAUGAAUGAAUAAAGGACACGUGGAGUAUAUACACAGCGAGUUCUACUCAGCCUUGAAGAAGAAAGAACUUAAGUCAUUUGCAGGAAAAAUGGAUGGAACUUGAGAGCAUUAAGUGAAACAAGCCACACUUAGAAAAACCCAGGGUCAUAUGAUUUCUCUCACAUGUGGCAGCUAGAUAGCACAAAGGAAUGCCAGGGGAGGGAGGGCGUCC